rnacentral:lncRNA from 10 species
GGCAAUGACAUCAGAUUACCCCUGGCUACAGCUGGCCUCACUGGCAGCACCCGUGGGACCAAGCGGAUACGUGUGGAGCCUGUGCACCCCUCUCCAGCCGCCUCCUGCAGGUGCAUCCCGCGCUUCCUUCAGAACUCAGGCAUAAGUAGAUAAAGCACAAGAAAAUUACCUGAGCUUUGAAACUGCAAACAGAAGCCACCAUUUCAGAGCAUCCCCUUCUGCACCCAGCACUUCCUUCAUCAGCUGCACCUCCCUCACUGAUGUGGGCGAGCACCCUGAGCCUUUCAACACCCUGCAUGAAAAAUCCAUUACUUCACUAAGUCAUAUUUGCCAAGGCAAGGAAGAGUUGGCCCAAAAUAUUUCCUCCUGAGAGAGGACUUGUCCCACCCACAUCAGAUGUAAGACACCCAUCUCAUUCUGUUUUGUUCCUUUCAAAGGAUUUGCUAUUAUUUGUAACUAUGUUUUAGAUAAAGGUAUUUAUUCUUCUUUCCCCCCAGUGCGAGGACAGGGAAAGUGUGAUCUGGACCCUGGUGUCACCAGCCCGGUGUCUGGAGCACACGAGAUAAUAAAUGUUGAAAUCAUGAGUGAACAAAUACAAUGUAUAAAAUUUCAGUAAAUACUGUUUAUUUUUUAAAUUUUGCCAUAAUCUAUACAAUAAAUAUUAACCAAUGAUGGAUCUUUUCUUUACAGAAGGUUACCAAACCAGUUUGCAUUUGUUGACUUCGUUAGUGGAGGCUCCUCCAUAACGAGCUCGUUAAUUUUAGGCCACCUUGCGUGGCUUUGGUUGACACUCAGUGUGUGACAGCUAAUGUGAUGCUCCCUGAAAAGUAUAUCGCAGAGUCUCGCAGAAUUACGAGGAAGGCAACGGAGCUCCGCAGCCCUGCGUUUAACCUUUAUUUAUUUAUCCAUCAUAAAAUGUGGGGCUUCUCCAGUUCCAGACAAUAUCUGAAAACUAGAGUAACAAAGAUUAAGGGGACACACACAGCCUCUAUGCAGACACGCUGACAUACGGAGCUCAGCCCUCUAUGCAGACACACUGAAAUAUGAAGACACCCACAGGCCUCUAUGCAGACACGCUGACAUACGGAGCUCGGCCCUCUAUGCAGACACACUGAAAUAUGAAGACACCCACAGGCCUCUAUGCAGACACGCUGAAAUAUAGAAACACACACAGCUCUCCAUGCGGACAUGCUGAAAUACAGAGCACAGCCCUCUAUGCAGACACACUGAAAUAUAGUCAUUGGCAACUAAAAUACAGUGUGAACACAUCCAACAAAAUGGGCGCACAGGGAGUUAUGACAGGAACUUAUGACAGCAAACGGCACAUGGACCCACAGGUCUGAUGAUCUCUGGCCAUCCCAAAGGUUGGGCCACUCCCUACCAUAUGCACCUCUGCUGAAGCAAGUUGAGAACUGACUCGCCGGGAGGGAGUCGCUGGCCAACGUGAGGCCAGCCUUGUGCACAGAGCGCGCAUGGAAAUGGUGCGGGUUCGCCGUCUCGGGAGUUGGAUACGACUGCCAUCUUUUUAUAAAUGAGAAUUGCAGGAUCAUCGACCAUUGUGUACUCACACAUUUAAAGAUGUGUAAGUCUUAAAUAACCCUUUGGGAAUAUUAAGGAGCUGUCACAGGGGUUCUCAAUUUUGGAUGUGCAUAAAAACACUUCUGUAGUGAUUUUAAAUGAAAGUGCCUGGUCUCAACUAACACCUGCUGAACCAGAAUUGCCACGGUUUGGGUUUGAGAAUCUGUUUUUUUGUUUUUGCUUUUAUAAGUUUCAGAAGCAAAAGUGAGGGUCGCUGGUUUGCAGGUGAUUGAAGGGUUUGGCCACCUGUGGGCCAUGAUGUCAUUGUUGUUGGUGGUGGUAAUGGUGAGGUUGGGGCUGUGAUGUCGUUGUCAUUGGUGGUAGUGAUGGUGAGGUCGGGGCUGUAGCAUCGUCAUUGGUGGUGGUGAUGGUGAGGUCGGGGCUGUGAUGUCAUUGUCAUUGGUGGUGGUGAUGGUGAGGUCGGGGCUGUGAUGUCGUUGUCGGUGGUGGUGGUGAUGGUGAGGUCACUGUAGGAAAGCCCAGCAGAAUGGCCCUGAAGCGUGGGCUCCGUCCCCGAUAUGCCUUCCCAUGAUCUCUUUUCCUAAGGAAAAAUCCGAAUAAAUGAAGGGUGAAGGCAGCCUUGAAAAUGAAGCAAAUUAUAAAGGUAAACUAUAGGCGAAAACUUCAGGGGAGUCUAAACGUUUUAUCUCGAUGAUUAAUGGGUGCCUUGGGUAGCAUUCUCUACAUGUCUUAGGGCAUCAGGAAACAGAACUGCCCUAUUUUUUCUCAGAGAUUUAUUCAUUCAAUGAACAUAUAUUAAGUACCAAGUAUUUCCAGGUCUUAUUCCAGUGAUUGGAAUUCAAUAAUACACUUACUGACAAAUUCCCCUGUGUCUGUAGAACUUACAAUCUGAUGGGUAAUAAAACAGGUCAGUAACAAUAAAAAUUGCAAUAAAUAAGUGGAGUAGGAAUUAAAUGAUAAAAGGUACUAUGUAUGUAAGAAUAAGGGAUCCUGGACACAGUUGUGAGCAAGGCUGCGAGGCUAAGUGUGCAGUCAGGGUGGGCAUCCCUGUGGAGGUGACGUCUGAGCCUCCAUUACACUCAGAUGUGGACAUGAGCUGCCUCGGAAAGGAACAUUCCAGAGAAAGGCACAGCUAGGGUAAGGCUCUGACCUGUGUCCUGCAUGCUCAGUGAAGCUGUUUGGUUCAAGUGGAAUGAAAAUAAGGAGAAUAAAAUUUUUUUUAAGUAUCAGAAUUUGCUCAGAUGCCAUCUCUACAGGUCAUGACCCAGCUCUGGGAGAGCCUUGGCAAUCUGCUUUAACUAGGGAAAUGCUGCAGGGUUUGAGUAGAGAAGGGGUCUGGCCUGACACAGCAGAUAUCUGGCCAGUGUUGAGAAGGGAGUCUGCACAUUCG